rnacentral:rRNA from 1 species
UCUUGGUCAUUUAGAGGAAGUAAAAGUCGUAACAAGGUCUCCGUUGGUGAACCAGCGGAGGGAUCAUUAUCGAGUUAUUCAACUCCCAAACCCUAUGUGAACUUACCACUUGUUGCUUCGGCGCGCGCUUCGGCGCCGCCGAGGACACUUAAACUCUUUGUUUUUAUAAGCAUUUCUGAGUGGCCGAAAGGCAAAAAUACAAAUGAAUCAAAACUUUCAACAACGGAUCUCUUGGUUCUGGCAUCGAUGAAGAACGCAGCGAAAUGCGAUAAGUAAUGCGAAUUGCAGAAUUCAGUGAAUCAUCGAAUCUUUGAACGCACAUUGCGCCCGCCAGCAUUCUGGCGGGCAUGCCUGUUCGAGCGUCAUUUCAACCCUCGAGCCCGACUCUUUUGAGGACGGCUCGGCGUUGGGGGACGGCAGACUCCCCCCGGCAUCUCGCCGGGGACGCCGCCCCCGAAAUCUAGUGGCGGCCCUCCGAGGCGACCUCUGCGUAGUAACUUGUUCUCGCACCGGAAAGCUCAGAGCGGCCACGCCGUAAAACCCCAACUUUUUUCAGGUUGACCUCGAAUCAGGUA